GCAGUUACAGGUGUGGGCAUCGAUACAGCCGCUUCAUGCUCAUGUAUGAAACUGC
ensembl:scaRNA